UUUACCUGGUUGAUCCUGCCAGUAGUCAUAUGCUUGUCUCAAAGAUUAAGCCAUGCAUGUCUAAGUACAGGCCGAAUUAAGGCGAAACCGCGAAUGGCUCAUUAAAUCAGUUAUGGUUCAUUGGAUCUUACCUUGUCCUACUUGGAUAACUGUGGUAAUUCUAGAGCUAAUACAUGCGAGCAAGCCCCGACCAGCGAUGGGAAGGGCGCUUUUAUUAGAUCAAAACCAAUCGGGCUCUUCGGGGCCCGUACCCCAGUGGUGACUCUGAAUAACUUUGUGCUGAGCGCACGGUCCUGGUACCGGCGCCGAAUCCUUCAAGUGUCUGCCUUAUCAGCUUUCGAUUGUAGGUUAUGCGCCUACAAUGGCUAUAACGGGUAACGGGGAAUCAGGGUUCGAUUCCGGAGAGGGAGCCUGAGAAACGGCUACCACAUCUAAGGAAGGCAGCAGGCACGCAAAUUACCCACUCCCGGCACGGGGAGGUAGUGACGAAAAAUAACGAUGCGAGACUCAUCUGAGGCUUCGCAAUCGGAAUGAGUACACUUUAAAUCCUUUAACGAGGAUCUAUUGGAGGGCAAGUCUGGUGCCAGCAGCCGCGGUAAUUCCAGCUCCAAUAGCGUAUAUUAAAGUUGCUGCGGUUAAAAAGCUCGUAGUUGGAUUCGAGUCACGGAGCAAGGGUUCACCGCCCGGUGCUUACUCUCUGCGAUCCGGACGUUGAUGUCGGCGUGGCACGGGGUGCUCUUCACCGAGUGUCCCGGCGCCGCCGACGAGUUUACUUUGAAAAAAUUAGAGUGCUCAGAGCAGGCCGUUCCUGACGCGCCUGAAUAGUUGUGCAUGGAAUAAUGGAAUAGGACCUCGGUUCUAUUUUCCGUUGGUUUUCGGAACCCGAGGUAAUGACUAAUAGGAACAGUCGGGGGCAUUCGUAUUGCGACGUUAGAGGUGAAAUUCUUGGAUCGUCGCAAGACGAACUACUGCGAAUGCAUUUGCCAAGAAUGUCUUCAUUAAUCAAGAACGAAAGUUAGAGGUUCGAAGGCGAUCAGAUACCGCCCUAGUUCUAACCAUAAACGAUGCCAACUAGCGAUCCGCCGGCGUUAUUCCCAUGACUCGGCGGGCAGCUUCCGGGAAACCAAAGUUUUUGGGUUCCGGGGGAAGUAUGGUUGCAAAGCUGAAACUUAAAGGAAUUGACGGAAGGGCACCACCAGGAGUGGAGCCUGCGGCUUAAUUUGACUCAACACGGGGAACCUCACCAGGCCCGGACACCGAAAGGAUUGACAGAUUGAGAGCUCUUUCUCGAUUCGGUGGGUGGUGGUGCAUGGCCGUUCUUAGUUGGUGGAGCGAUUUGUCUGGUUAAUUCCGAUAACGAACGAGACUCAAA
rnacentral:rRNA from 1 species